rnacentral:rRNA from 1 species
AUGAACGCUGGCGGCGUGCCUAAUACCUGCAAGUCGAGCGAACGGACGAGAAGCUUGCUUCUCUGAUGUUAGCGGCGGACGGGUGAGUAACACGUGGAUAACCUACCUAUAAGACUGGGAUAACUUCGGGAAACCGGAGCUAAUACCGGAUGAUAUUUUGAACCGCAUGGUUCAAAAGUGAAAGACGGUCUUGCUGUCACUUAUAGAUGGAUCCGCGCUGCAUUAGCUAGUUGGUAAGGUAAUGGCUUACCAAGGCAACGAUGCAUAGCCGACCUGAGAGGGUGAUCGGCCACACUGGAACUGAGGCACGGUCCAGACUCCUACGGGAGGCAGCAGUAGGGAAUCUUCCGCAAUGGGCGAAAGCCUGACGGAGCAACGCCGCGUGAGUGAUGAAGGUCUUCGGAUCGUAAAACUCUGUUAUUAGGGAAGAACAUAUGUGUAAGUAACUGUGCACAUCUUGACGGUACCUAAUCAGAAAGCCACGGCUAACUACGUG